GGCGUGCGGAAGGGGAGACCGGAGGGAGUCGCGGGGAAGCGUCCGGGGCUGCGCUCCUCACGACGACGUGGAUUCGGAAGACGGCGCAGCCCUUCUCCCCGGAAAGCGACCCUCGUGCUCGCUCACUCCUCAGUCCGCUUCCCGAGACACGAGCGAUCCGAGCUGAAGUCAGCCUCUCCGACACCGCCACCCGCCUGAAGCCGUCAACCACCCCCCCCCCUUAAAGCGCUCUGACGCCGUCGUCGCGACGGGAGCGCGCACGCUGCUCGCGCACACCCGGGAGAAAGCUCCACCAACGGGCGUCCAACUGUCUGCUUCUCCGCACGCCCCGCCCCGCCCAGGGAGGGGUUCCACCCUAACGGCUCUCGGGAGCGUGCUCGCGUGCUGGCCCCGCCCCCUCGGCCCGCAGAUCUCGCGAGAAUACAGCCCUUGAACCGGAUCUGCCUUUGACGUCACGCUUCGUCCGCGCUGCCUUGCUGCUGCUGCUGCUGGGCAGCGAGGGACGUGAGGCUGGCUGCGCCCAAGGGGCAGUCUCCCUCCAGUUAACCAAUGGCCGAGGUUAGCCCGGGUCAAACCCUUCCCUCCAGGCUGUUGGGGCAACUGGAGGCCCACCAAACCAGCAGACUCCUCCAGCGAGCGUUCCCCCUUGCCAUGGAAUUCUUGAUGAAGAGCCACGUGUUCCCGCACGCUGCGCAAAAGGCAGAGCACCACCCCUCCACAUGGAGAAUAGAAGCCAGGACCUCAGGCAUGCCAGAGAAGAACUCCACUACUGUCCUUCACCAUCAGCUCCAGAAUGAUGAGCAUGAAAUUUAGUUUCUUUUUUAAAAAUAAUAUAUUUAAGAGAGAAGGGAAGAAAGAGAGAAUGGGUGCACCAGAGCAUCCCUCACUGCAAACAAACUCUAGACACAUGCACCCUUUGUACAUUCGGCCUUACAUAGGUACUGAGGAAUCGAACCUGGGCUGUCAGGUUUUAUAAGCAAGUGCCUUUAAGUAACUGCCUGAGCCAUCAUUUAUCCAGCCCAAAUUUUAAUUUAGUUUCUUCUUUUUUUAAAAAAAUAUAUUUAUGGAAGAGAAAGAGGGAGGGAGAGUGAGAGAAA